UUAACAAUCAAUAUGUUUUCUAAAAGCACCAAAACCCAUUUGAUCUUGGAAGCCAAACAGGCUCAGCUAUGGUAAGUACUUGGAUGGGAGAUCACCAAAGAAUACCAGGUGCUAAA
rnacentral:rRNA from 1 species